rnacentral:ribozyme from 13 species
UUCAGGAAGCAAAAGAAGGAAUCAAAAACAAAAAAGAAGAAAUGGGACAAAACACAUCAACACACAUGUCCCCCGAAAUUCUGAAUUCCUCAGAAUAUACAACUUCUGCUGAUAUUUAUUCUCUUGGUAUUCUUUUUUCUGAGAUUGCUACCAGGCAGAUUCCCUUUCCUCAUUUGGAUGGUGUUUUUCGUGAUGAGAUGAUUCGUGAUUUGAUUCUUCAAG